rnacentral:tRNA from 1 species
GAUCCUAUAGCUCAGUUGGUUAGAGCGUGUGACUGUUAAAUCCUUAUCAGUUGCAUCACAAGGUCGCUGGUUCGAACCCAGCUAGGAUCG